CUCAGUUCUAAGUUGGGACUGCAAAAAUUUGAGGAUUUCCCCACAUAGACCUGAAGUUUCUGAUUCUAGCAUUUCUCUUCUGUAAGCAACAUGGCAAACCCGGUUUCAAAGUAAAGACCUGAGGAAGAAUGUAGAUUGAUCACUGUGAUUUCAAGUCCUUCAGAGCUGGAGCUGUUAAGACUUGAGACAGAUAUAUACAGGG